ACCCUCACAGUCCUCCAGGCUCCUCUUCUUGCUCCAGUGCUAAGUGUGCACCUGUGGCUUUGUACUACUAACAAGAGCCUCCCAGCAGAACUGUACCCGUGACUCAUCAGCUUUUAUCUGCACUGUACUCAGGGCCCAAAUCCACAGAUAAUGAGGAAAAGCAGAGGUAUUUGGAUCCUGAAGCACAGGCUUCCAGGCAAUGUCUCCAGCUACUGCCCUAUAACUGAUAACCACAUUUAAGGGAAGACGAACCAGCUCUUGAAUAUGGCUUUGCAACACCAGCUUCCAAGGAAUGAAAGGUCCUGAGGAACUGCGGCAGGUGGAGAGGCGGAGAAGGUGGGGCCGGCAAAGAGCCCCCAUGGCAACCAGUCCCCUAAUAGGAGAGUUGCUGGGAAUUGUUAUUCCCUCCCCAUUGGGAGGCCACUUCAGAGAAAAUACACUUGUUGGAUAAUAAAAGCAGAAGCACCCUGCAUACUCC
rnacentral:lncRNA from 1 species